rnacentral:rRNA from 1 species
CGUAGGGGGCAAGCGUUGUCCGGAUUUAUUGGGCGUAAAGAGCGUGUAGGCGGCUAGAUAGGUCCGUUGUGAAAACUCGAGGCUCAACCUCGAGACGUCGAUGGAAACCAUCUGGCUAGAGUCCGGAAGAGGAGAGUGGAAUUCCUGGUGUAGCGGUGAAAUGCGCAGAUAUCAGGAAGAACACCCGUGGCGAAGGCGGCUCUCUGGUACGUGACUGACGCUGAGACGCGAAAGCGUGGGGAGCAAACAGGAUUAGAUACCCUGGUAGUCCACGCCGUAAACGAUGGGUGCUAGGUGUGGGGGGUGUCGACUCCCUCCGUGCCGAAGCUAACGCAUUAAGCACCCCGCCUGGGGAGUACGGCCGCAAGGCUA